CAAACGGUGCGGAACACGUACGCAACCUUCCAUAACUGGUGAAUAGCCUUCCGAAAGGGAGAUUAAUACACCGUAACAUAACGAAAAGGCAUUCUUUUGUUAUUAUAGGCUUCGGCCGGUUUUGGAUGGGCGUGCGCCUGAUUAGGUAGUUGGCGGGGUAACGGCCCACCAAGCCUGCGAUCAGUAACUGGUGUGAGAGCACGACCAGUCACACGGGCACUGAGACACGGGCCCGACUCCUACGGGAGGCAGCAGUAAGGAAUAUUGGUCAAUGGACGAAAGUCUGAACCAGCCAUGCCGCGUGAAGGAUUAAGGCCCUCUGGGUUGUAAACUUUCUUUUAUCUGGGAACGAAAAAGGGCUUUCUAGCUCACUUGACGGUACCAGAGGAAUAAGCACCGGCUAACUCCGUG
rnacentral:rRNA from 1 species